AUGAAUAACAUCAAAGAGCAUCAGUGGUGUGUAUGAUCUUUGGCCUCACCAGAGCAAGAAGGCGGCUCUCUGAGGAAGAAACCUUUUCGUAGUACACUUCCUCCUCUGUAGUUCUGCCUUCUGUGGACACCCACUUAAAUUUGUUUUGUUUCUGAAAGGCUUGGUUUGGAGCCCUGAGAACGCAACGAUGGGUUGGACCCAAAGAUUUGCUCAAGGACGAAUCCAUAAGUGUAUCUAGCCAACCUGAAAGCCAGAAUGGUAAACAGGCCUCCCAAAAAUACAAACAAAGAUGGUAUAAUAAAAGCCAACUGAAAGUGCAGUGUACAGGUGAGGUCGGAUUUCCUUGUCAUGUUGUGAAUCACUUUGCUCUGCAUUUUUCCUCCUCAGCUUCCUUGACUGCUGGGUCCUGACCUUCUAGAACUCUGCUGCUCUUGUGACUGCAGCGACCUCAGUGUCAGUGCAGCAUCACGCAGGCACUGGUGAGGCUGACAGCACAGGACACUGGAGACACUUCCCUCCACAAUGGAAGCAUUUGAAUGGGGGUUCCAAUUUAGAACUGUAUCUGUUUAGUGAUAUUACCAAGGUACUUGCUCUCUCUGGAAAAUCUCAGUUUAUAAAGCUGGCUCUCACACAGACUCACUGUAUAAACAUAAGUUGCUUAUCCAGACCUGUGAAGUCUCACACAUGGCACUCAAGACAUCCAUUCAGACCCCACUUCACGCUUCCUUUCAAGAGCUGCACACGCAUACUGCAGUACUCCCUUGGGAAUUUCCAUUCCACUUUUGGAUCAAGUCCUGCCUCUGCUCAAAAACAAAUACAAGCAAGAUGCCCUGGCACUGAAAGUGUAGAUGUCAUGAUAAGAACAUCAAUAGAAACAGUGAAUAAACAGAGUAAGAUUGGUUAAAUGAGUCAGAAGAAAGAUGCACUUAGCCUGCUAUUUUGUUUCUGUUAUUGCCCAGUUGUUGGUGAUGAAGUACAGUGUGACCUUUUCCCUGCUGUCUUCAUUUCACUAGAUUAUCUUCUCUCUUUCUUUUUCUAGCUUAAUAAACUUCUUAAUCAGAAGAAGUUUAUUAAGCUAAGUUGAAGUUUCAUGGGAUAUAAACUUAACCAACCUCGGAUAAAUGUGCUGCCAUCUCCACAAGCAGCAGCCCUUCCUUGGGGUCAGGCCACCUUUGCACUCCUAUAUGUAAAACCAAUUUGCUCCCCAGCAUCACUGCAGCCUUGGACAAAGAUCAAAGCAGAACAGCACAGCAAGCUCUCAUCAGAAACUGCUCAGUAAAAGCAACAGUUCCCCUUGCACCAUGCAGGCCUUGCUGUCCCACCCACAGCUGGUGUGGUGUGAUCAGAUGCCACCAGAUCACGCAGCGUCUUUCCCCCUUCCUAUUGAAAUAAUGUCAUCAAAAGCUUUAGGUCUAGUCAAGAGUUUUGAAGUCUUUCAUGAGCAAUGCAGAUGAAUAAUGCAAUCAGACUCUUCUUCAAGCAAUCAGGGCAGCUGAGUAUGGAAGUAGUGAUUUUGCCUGAAUUGGGAAAAACAUGUGCCCGGGGGGGGG